UACGUAGGGUGCGAGCGUUAAUCGGAAUUACUGGGCGUAAAGCGUGCGCAGGCGGUUGUGCAAGACAGAUGUGAAAUCCCCGGGCUUAACCUGGGAACUGCCUCAAAUACUGACGGUCUCGAGGGAGGUAGGGGCGAGCGGAACUGAUGGUGGAGCGGUGAAAUGCGUUGAUAUCAUCAGGAACACCGGUGGCGAAGGCGGCUUGCUGGGCCAGUUCUGACGCUGAGGAGCGAAAGCGUGGGGAGCGAACAGG
rnacentral:rRNA from 1 species